ensembl:lncRNA
ACGGAAAUAAAAAAAAUAACGGAAAUAACCUCCACAGAGACAGAAACAUACGGCAGAAAAUUAGGUGACAGGUCAAGAACAACAACGGAAAUAACGGAAGUUACGGAAAUAACAGAAAGACGGAAAUAACCUCCACAGAGACAGGAACAUACGGCAAAGAAUUAGGUGACAGGUCAAGAACAACAACGGAAAUACAGAAAAAAACGAAAUAAGGGAAAUAAUAACGGAAAUAAUGGAAAUAAAGGAAAUAAUAACGGAAAUAACGGAAAUAAUAACGGAAGUAACGGAAGUAAUAACAGAAAUAUCCUCCAGAAAGACCGAAACAUACGGACGAAAAUUUGGUGACAGGUCAAGUACAACAACGGAAAAAACGGAAAUAACGGAAAUCACGGAAAAAACGGAAAUAACGGAAAUAACCUCCACAGAGACAGAAACAUACGGCAGAAAAUUGGGUGACAGGUCAAGAACAACAACGGAAAUUACGGAAAAAAAUGGAAAGAACGGAAAUAAAGGAAAUAUCGGAAAAAACGGAAAGAACAGAAAGAACGGAAAGAACCUCCAGAGAGACAGAAACAUACGGCAAAAAAUUAGGUGACAGGUCAAAAACAACAACGGAAAUAACAGAAAAAAACGAAAUAACAGAAAUAAUAACGGAAAUAACGAAAAUAAUAACAAAAAUAACGGAAAUAAUGAAAAUAAUCUCAACUGCGACAGAAACAUACGGCAGAAAAUAAGGUGACAGGUAAAGAACAACAACGGAAAGAAUGAAAAAAAACGAAAUAACGGAAAUAAUAACGGAAAUAAUGAAAAUAAUAACAGAAAUAACGGAAAAAAUAACGGAAAUAACGGAAAUAAUAACGGAAAUAACAAAAAUAAUAACGGAAAUAUCCUCCAGAGAGACAGAAAAAAACAUCAGAAAAUUAG